rnacentral:lncRNA from 1 species
AGGUAUGUCUUAUUAUACAAUGAUUUUUUCUGCUGUUGUUCAUCUGUACAUCCUACAGAUUCUUAUGACAGAGAACUGCAAAAGCUCUCUCUCUCUCUCUCUCAGAUAGAUUCAUGCUGAUAGCCAAGUUACCUGGAUAUAGUGUAGGUUACGAGAGUACUGAUUAAUAGGAGGAAAAACAAUUGGCUUUGUUUGGAUUGGGCUUUAUUUCUCAAAAUUUAUUUGCUUACAUCAUCAUUACAAUUUCCAAUACACCUUUUUACCUUUCCAAUUACCUUUUUAUCUCACAUACAUCACAUCACAAAAAGUGCUACAGUAAAAAUAUCUCUAAUAAUUCACAAUCCAAAUGCCAUUGUAGUCAUUAAUUACUAUUAAGUAAAUAUCCCCUUAUUCAUGCUUGAAGGGUUGCAAUAACCACAAAGUUCAUAAAAUGUUUUUAAGUAGUUUCUGUACUUAAAUUAUGUUAUUUGGUGUCUGUGGUUAUCCCAAAACAAAUGAGGUUUGAAUUAGGUAGUUUUAAAAGUAAAUGAUGGCACUAGAAGACUUAAAGCCUGUUUGGAUUGUGAGUUUUCGUGAAAGUUUUUGUGAAAUAUUCUGAUGACACAUUUCCCAAUCACCUUUUUGUUUCACGUACAUCACAUCACUACAAUAUUUUUCUCCAAAAGCAAUUCAAAUGGGCUCAAACCUUCUGAUUAAAUGGUAAUUUUUUGUGUAUUAUACGAAUCAAAAAAUGGCUUCAUGUCAGUAUUUUUCCAUCACAUGUAUAUAACCUGUAUUGCUGUCCCCCCCCAACCCCCCGCGCGCGCAGGGGAGGGAGGAGGCUUUGUCCUGAUAUUUCUGUCAUAGUUACAGAAUAUGCGUGUGUGUGUGUGAGAGAGAGAGUGUGUGCGUGUGUGCGUAUUAUACGAAUCAAAAAAUGGCUUCAUGUCAGUAUUUUUCCAUCACAUGUAUAUAACCUGUAUUGCUGUCCCCUCCCCCACCCCCCGCGCGCGCGGGGGAGGGAGGAGGCUUUGUCCUGAUAUUUCUGUCAUAGUUACAGAAUAUGCGUGUGUGUGUGUGAGAGAGAGAGAGAGUGUGUGUGUGUGUGAAUAUUUGUUUAAGUGGAUGAAGAAGCUGAAAAGCUUGCCAAAAUUUGGAAGAAGAUUGUGAAGUAAAUUCAACUCUAGGUUCUGAACUUAUAACUCAAAAGCCAAAUGUCAAGAUGCUAUAUUUCAGUGCUUAGCAGAUAUUUUGAUUGGGUGUUUGGUAUCUUAAAGGUUAAAUUUCUGGAGGCAAAGGAUUACUUAGUGGAAAAGUGUUUUCUUCCCUAAAAUAGGUGUUCACAAUUAGGGCUGUGUUUACAGGAUCACUGUCAUAUUCAAUCAUCUGGAUUUGCCAUAACCUUUCAAAGUUCUAGUUGAAAAAAUCUGUACCUCAUUCUAAGUUAAAGUCUGCCUUCAAAAUCCGUGAUCUAUUCUGAAUUAAAAGAUUAUAAAUUCCUCUUUUCUUUUGUUUUUCUUUUAACUUAAUUUCCUUGAACUAAAUAAAUGAUUUCUGUUUUACUUGUCUAAUGAAUCUCGUCCUUCACUCA